CAAAAUAUGGACCCAAAUUACGAGUGCUGUUAAUAGUGUGGGGGUUGAGAAGCGCACUCCAACAGAGGUGAAAAAAAAGUGGUCCGAUUCAAAGAUCGCCACAAAGAGGCGCGUCUCGGCACUGAAGAGGAGCCAGAGUCAGACUGGGGGAGGCCCACCGGAUCCAAGUCUCCAGCUGACACCGAACGAGGAGCGGGUGGCAGCCCUCAUCGGAACGGUGUCUUUGGAAGGUAUCACCGGUGGGAGAGAUACCGACGACAUUCAUAAUGAUGGCACUGCAGGGCCCAGCGCCCUCGAGGCAUCUCCCCCUCAGCCCAUCCAGGAGCCUGAGCCUAUCCUUGCGCCAGAGCCUGAA